rnacentral:rRNA from 1 species
GACAGAGGGUGCAAACGUUUGUUCGGAAUUACUGGGGCGUAAAAGCGCGUGUAGGCGGCCCUGCAAGUCGGAUGUGAAAUCCCACGGCUCAACCGUGGAAGUGCAUUCGAAACUGCAGGGCUAGAGUCCUGGAGAGGAAGGUGGAUGCUUGGUGUAGAGGUGAAAUUCGUAGAUAUCAAGCGGAACACCGGUGGCGAAGGCGGCCUUCUGGAC